rnacentral:sRNA from 1 species
AUCCUUGGGGCCAGGGACCCCAGUGGGGCCGGUACAUCUCCCUGCCCCGGCCUCUACACCCUGGAGGGACGGCAGGAGGGCUCUGUGCAGUUUGAGAGAACACCCAUACGCAGGAAGUGACCUCAACAUCACCGAGAGGGCGCCUGGAAUGCGAGCCCACACCUUAACCGUGCUCUUCAUCCUCACCUGUACACUUGGCUACGUGACGCUGCUGGAGGAAACACCUCAGGACACGGCCUACAACACCAAGAGCUUACUGGAGGUUUUGGCUCUGCGUGAGUGUGGUCUACGAGCUGUUUCUCAUCUUUAUACUCUUCCAGACUGUCCAGGACGGCCGGCAGUUUCUGAAGUAUGUUGACCCCAAGCUGGGAGUCCCACUGCCAGAGAGAGACUACGGGGGAAAUUGCCUCAUCUACGACCCAGACAAUGAGACUG